AGAGAUUAACAAAACAAUAAUAAAAUGGAACAAUUAGAAUGAUACACUGUCAUAAAGUUAUGUGAAUCUGGUCUUGCUCUGCCUCAGAAUAUCUUACUGUAUUGUACUCGCCCUUCUGAUGAUGAUAUGAGAUGAUGAAAUGCCUUUGUGACUAGCGAAGUGAGGUGAAUGCCAUUGGCAUUGUGACGUCAUGUUAGGCUACUACUGACCUGCUGACGUUAUGUCAGAAGGGGGAUGGGCUGCUAGGGGUGGUCCGGGUCACUGGGCCGUGUCAGUGUUGAUGGCUGAACAUCAGGAGCUGACGAUGUUGACAGCUGGGGAUCCUGAAUAGUUGAAAGUUUUUUCGUUGAAAACCUUUGGAAGAACAUUUUAAUCGGAAGUUGUCUCUAACUCUUCCAAGCUUUGCUGCCGUUCUAACCCUUUGGUGAUCAUGCAAUGACUUUAAUACUGCAUUCCGACGACGGAUCACAUUUCACAGUUUUGUCUUUUAAAGUCUGAAAUCUGAAACAUUCUGCAAAUGUUGGUAACGUCCACAUUGCUGGCUCUUCUUCAGUUUCUUCUUCCUCUUCCUCUGGGGAUGACUCACGUUCUCCCAAUUCCGGGUUUGCUGCAGGUAAGCUGAAACCGUGGAGAGCAAAACUGCCAAUGGGGGAAACCAUUGCAUUUCAGGAGGUACUGAGCAUCCGCUACAUCGAAUUCAUUAUUGCAUCUCUAACAUUUUAGCCUAGCUUAUAGUAGGGUUCAGAUACAUGUCUGUAGAACGAGUAAAGACAAAUGUGAGAAGUUGAUAGAAUUUGGUUUGUUCUUCCAAAAAGUAAGAUGCUGGAAAAAAUUCUGAAAAUCAGUUCAUGUCAGAGUAAGUAAACAAAACAAAAAAAAAGUGUAAUCAAAGAAAUUUUUCUUGUUAAAAUCAGAAUGCAUUCAUACUAAUGAAAGGAGAAUGCAGACCCCUUCUGACAUAUUUUGUACUGUUUAAAGACAAACGUUUGUGCGCUGCAAGCCGCAAAUGGAUUGAAACUCCAGUGAGGACUUCAUAAGCCAUCUGCUGGUCUCCUAAUGAGGCUGGUAACCAUCAUUGUUUACAGUUAGGCACCAGG
rnacentral:lncRNA from 13 species